GGUUUCUAUUCACAGGAAAUAUAGCGGAUGGAGAAACAAGGUAAAUGACACCACAGAGAAGCAAGUGGACACACCCUGAUUGUGGGAUUCUGCAGGACAAAGGAUUUCUUCCACAAGGGUGUUUUCUGUUCCAUGUUACCACUGUGGACAACUGGGCUUGGUCCCGCCGGGACCCCUGUGAGGAACCAGGAGGAACGCUCUCAGGAUUGUUCCAGAUAUGUGGUGGUUUGCGACGCCACUGGGAAUGGAAUCCUGAGGACGGCCCAGCCCCUGGGACGCAUGACUGGCUCCAAAAGGCACCUGGGGCAGGAAGUAGAAACCACAGGAUCAUUUCCCCAAAGCCUGUGCAGCAGGCAGCAGGUGGAUCCAGGCGCAGGUCUGGCAGCCAGAGGGGGCGAGAGGCUGAGCUGAAGGAGCUGGCAAGGUCAAGAGGAAAGGCCUUCAGGAUCAGAGAAACCUGACUUUGUCAUCAAAUGCGUCAGGAGCAGGGAGACAGUGAGAUGCUGGGGAUCGGGGCUGAUGCUCAAUGUUAAUACGCUGCAGCUAAAAUGCCUGAUUCCUGCCGCAGAGCGGGCUGUGGCUUUGGAGCCAGGAGACCCAAGUUUGGACCUUGACCCUGUCACUCACUGUCUAAGUUACCCAGCUUCUAGGAAAGCCAGUGUCCUCACCAGCAAAACAAGGGCUCCGUGUCCGGUACUGGAGAUACAGUGAUGAACAAGACAUUCGAGGUACCUGCCUACAUGGAGCUUACAGUCUACUUGGGGGGAACAGACAGGAAGGAAGAUGUACUGAACAUUUGCCAUUCAUCGCUGCUCAACAUUUUUAAAAAUCCCUGUCUACAUGUUGGACUACUCCUGAUAUCUCUGCCAAACCAGCCUCUCUUGCAGCUAGAGUGCAGGCGUGUGGCCUCGGUUUCCCCAAUCACGCUCACCUACCUGAGAUGCCAACUGGGAGAUGAAUUAUGUGUGUGGACACCUGCAUCCUUUUUUGCUGGCCUGGUGGCAGCCGAAGGAACAUGGUUCUGGAGUCAGCCACAGCAGCGACCCCUUCCCCGAGUCCGAUCGGCAGCGUGCUUCUUGGAGAGGCUCCUGAAAGCUGCAUCCAGAGCCUGUUUCUCUAACAUCCCUGAAUAAAUUCCCUUCCUACUUAAACUAGCCAGGGUGGACUCUGUUGUCUACAAACAAGAAUACUAAUCA